rnacentral:rRNA from 1 species
GACGAACCGUGCGAACGUUGUUCGGAGUCACUGGGCGUAAAGGGCGCGUAGGUGGCGACCCAAGUCGAUGGUGAAAGCUCGCCGCUCAACGGCGAGUCGGCCACUGAUACUGGGUUGCUCGAGCACUGUAGAGGCAGAUGGAAUUCCGGGUGUAGCGGUGGAAUGCGUAGAGAUCCGGAAGAACACCGGUGGCGAAGGCGGUCUGCUGGGCAGUAGCUGACACUGAGGCGCGACAGCGUGGGGAGCAAACAGG